UCGUAGUCCGGAUUGGAGUCUGCAACUCGACUCCAUGAAGUCGGAAUCGCUAGUAAUCGUGGAUCAGAAUGCCACGGUGAAUACGUUCCCGGGCCUUGUACACACCGCCCGUCACACCAUGGGAGUGGGUUGCAAAAGAAGUAGGUAGCUUAACCUUCGGGAGGGCGCUUACCACUUUGUGAUUCAUGACUGGGGUGAAGUCGUAACAAGGUAACCGUAGGGGAACCUGCGGUUGGAUCACCUCCUU
rnacentral:rRNA from 1 species